rnacentral:misc_RNA from 1 species
GAUGAAGAACGUAGCGAAAUGCGAUACGUAAUGUGAAUUGCAGAAUUCAGUGAAUCAUCGAGUCUUUGAACGCACAUUGCGCCCUCUGGUAUUCCGGAGGGCAUGCCUGUCCGAGCGUCAUUGCUGCCCUCCAGCCCGGCUGGUGUGUUGGGCCCCGUCCCCCUUCCCGGGGGGACGGGCCCGAAAGGCAGCGGCGGCACCGCGUCCGGUCCUCGAGCGUAUGGGGCUUUGUCACCCGCUCUUGUAGGCCCGGCCGGCGCCAGCCGACCCCCUCAAUCUAUUUUUCAGGUUGACCUCGGAUCAGGUAGGGAUACCCGCUGAACUUAAGCAUAUCAAUAACGGAGGA